GGGGACGUGGUGUAUGGUGCACCGCUGCAUUUGUUGUUGGGGGUUGUAAUUGCAUUAUAUGCUGCAGUAGGCCGGGGCUCGACUCCCCGCGUCCCCG